rnacentral:misc_RNA from 1 species
CGAAAUGCGAUAAGUAAUGUGAAUUGCAGAAUUCAGUGAAUCAUCGAAUCUUUGAACGCACAUUGCGCACGCCAGCACUCUGGCGGGCAUGCCUGUUCGAGCGUCAUUUCAACCCUCAGAACCCCUUGCGGGAUCUGGCGUUGGGGAUUGGCAUCCAGCCAGCCCCGAAAUCUAGCGGCGGUCCCUCCGCGACCUCCCCUGUGCAGUAGCGAUACCUCGCAGCGGGACAGCGGUCUGACCACGCCGUAAAACCCCCAACUUCUCAAGGUUGACCUCGAAUCAGGUAGGAAUACCCGCUGAACUUAAGC